ensembl:lncRNA
UGUGGAGAUGGGGAGCUGUGGAUAUGGGGAGCUGUGGAGAUGGGGAGCUGGGGAGCUGUGGAGAUGGGGAGCUGUGGAGCUGGGGAGCUGGGGAGCUGUGGAGCUGGGGAGCUGGGAGCUGUGGAGAUGAGGAGCUGUGGAGCUCAGUAGCUGUGGAGAUGUGGAGCUGUGGAGCUGUGGAGCUGGGGAGAUGGGGAGUUGUGGAGAUGGGGAGCUGUGGAGAUGGGGAGCUGGGGAGCUCUGGGGAGCUGGGGAGCUGGGGAGCUGGGGAGCUGGGGAGAUGGGGAGCUGUGGAGCUGGGGAGCUGUGAAGAUGGGGAGCUGUGGAGAUGGGGAGCUGGGGAGCUGUGGAGCUGUGGAGAUGGGGAGCUGUGGAGAUGGGGAGCUGGGGAGCUGUGGAGAUGGGGAGCUGUGGAGCUGUGGAGAUGGGGAGCUGUGGAGAUGGGGAGCUGUGGAACUGUGGAGAUGGGGAGCUGUGGAACUGUGGAGCUGUGGAGAUGGGGAGCUGUGGAGAUAUGGAGCUGGGGAGCUGUGGAACUGUGGAGCUGUGGAGAUGGGGAGAUGUGAAACUGUGGAGCUGUGGAGCUGGGGAGCUGUGGAGAUGGGGAGCUGUGGAGCUCGGUAGCUGUGGAGAUGUGGAGCUGUGGAGAUGUGGAGCUGGGGAGAUGGGGAGCUGUGGAGAUGGGGAGCUGUGGAGAUGGGGAGCUGUGGAGAUGGGGAGAUGUGGAGCUGGGGAGAUGGGGAGCUGUGGAGAUGGGGAGAUGGGGAGCUGUGGAGAUGGGGAGCUGUGGAGCUGGGGAGCUGGGGAGCUGUGGAGCUGGGGAGAUGGGGAGCUGUGGAGAUGGGGAGCUGUGGAGCUCGGUAGCUGUGGAGAUGUGGAGCUGUGGAGCUGUGGAGCUGGGGAGAUGGGGAGCUGUGGAGAUGGGGAGCUGUGGAGAUGGGGAGAUGUGGAGCUGGGGAGAUGGGGAGCUGUGGUGAUGGGGAGUUGUGGAGAUGGGGAGCUGUGGAGAUGGGGAGCUGUGGAGAUGGGGAG